rnacentral:rRNA from 1 species
UUUCCGGUUGAUCCUGCCGGACCUGACUGCUAUCGGAUUGAUACUAAGCCAUGCGAGUCAUUGUAGCAAUACAAGGCAGACGGCUCAGUAACGCGUAGUCAAUCUACCCUAUGGACGGGGAUAACCUCGGGAAACUGAGAAUAAUACCCGACAGAACAUUAUGCCUGGAAUGGUUUAUGUUUUAAAUGAUUUAUCGCCGUAGGAUGGGACUGCGGCCUAUCAGUUUGUUGGUGAGGUAAUGGCCCACCAAGACUAUUACAGGUACGGGCUCUGAGAGGAGUGGCCCGGAGAUGGGUACUGAGACACGGACCCAGGCCCUAUGGGGCGCAGCAGGCGAGAAAACUUUGCAAUAUGCGAAAGCACGACAAGGUUAAUCCGAGUGGUUUCUGCUAAAGAAACCUUUUGUUAGUCCUAGAAACACUGACGAAUAAGGGGUGGGCAAGUUCUGGUGUCAGCCGCCGCGGUAAAACCAGCACCUCAAGUGGUCAGGAUGAUUAUUGGGGCCUAAAGCAUCCGUAGCUUGCUUUGUAAGUUCUCGGUUAAAUCCAUGCGCUUAACGUAUGGGCUGCCGGUAAUACUGCAAAGCUAGGGAGUGGGAGAGGUAGACGGUACUCGGUAGGAAGGGGUAAAAUCCUUUGAUCUAUUGAUGACCACCUGUGGCGAAGGCGGUCUACCAGAACACGUCCGACGGUGAGGGAUGAAAGCUGGGGGAGCAAACCGGAUUAGAUACCCGGGUAGUCCCAGCUGUAAACUAUGCAAACUCAGUGAUGCAUUGGCUUGUGGCCAAUGCAGUGCUGCAGGGAAGCCGUUAAGUUUGCCGCCUGGGAAGUACGUACGCAAGUAUGAAACUUAAAGGAAUUGGCGGG